rnacentral:rRNA from 1 species
UCCUGGCUCAGGAUGAACGCUGGCGGCGUGCUUAACACAUGCAAGUCGAACGAAGCACUUUUUACAGAUUUCUUCGGAAUGAAGUUUUAGUGACUGAGUGGCGGACGGGUGAGUAACGCGUGGGUAACCUGCCUCACACAGGGGGGAUAACAGUUGGAAACGGCUGCUAAUACCGCAUAAGCGCACAGUACCGCAUGGUACAGUGUGAAAAACUCCGGUGGUGUGAGAUGGACCCGCGUCUGAUUAGCUAGUUGGCAGGGCAACGGCCUACCAAGGCGACGAUCAGUAGCCGACCUGAGAGGGUGACCGGCCACAUUGGGACUGAGACACGGCCCAAACUCCUACGGGAGGCAGCAGUGGGGAAUAUUGCACAAUGGGGGAAACCCUGAUGCAGCGACGCCGCGUGAGCGAAGAAGUAUUUCGGUAUGUAAAGCUCUAUCAGCAGGGAAGAAGAAAUGACGGUACCUGACUAAGAAGCACCGGCUAAAUACGUG